rnacentral:rRNA from 1 species
GGUUCUCUCCGAAAUAGCUUUAGGGCUAGCCUCAAGUGAUGAUUAUUGGAGGUAGAGCACUGUUUGGACGAGGGGCCCCUCUCGGGUUACCGAAUUCAGACAAACUCCGAAUGCCAAUUAAUUUAACUUGGGAGUCAGAACAUGGGUGAUAAGGUCCGUGUUCGAAAGGGAAACAGCCCAGACCACCAGCUAAGGUCCCAAAAUAUAUGUUAAGUGGAAAAGGAUGUGGCGUUGCCCAGACAACUAGGAUGUUGGCUUAGAAGCAGCCAUCAUUUAAAGAGUGCGUAAUAGCUCACUAGUCGAGUGACACUGCGCCGAAAAUGUACCGGGGCUAAACAUAUUACCGAAGCUGUGGAUUGUCCUUUGGACAAUGGUAGGAGAGCGUUCUAAGGGCGUUGAAGCAUGAUCGUAAGGACAUGUGGAGCGCUUAGAAGUGAGAAUGCCGGUGUGAGUAGCGAAAGACGGGUGAGAAUCCCGUCCACCGAUUGACUAAGGUUUCCAGAGGAAGGCUCGUCCGCUCUGGGUUAGUCGGGUCCUAA